AGUGAACGCUGGCGGUAGGCCUAACACAUGCAAGUCGAACGGCAGCACAGUAAGAGCUUGCUCUUACGGGUGGCGAGUGGCGGACGGGUGAGGAAUACAUCGGAAUCUACUUUUUCGUGGGGGAUAACGUAGGGAAACUUACGCUAAUACCGCAUACGACCUACGGCUGAAAGCAGGGGAUCUUCGGACCUUGCGCGUUUGAAUGAGCCGAUGUCGGAUUAGCUAGUUGGCGGGGUAAAGGCCCACCAAGGCGACGAUCCGUAGCUGGUCUGAGAGGAUGAUCAGCCACACUGGAACUGAGACACGGUCCAGACUCCUACGGGAGGCAGCAGUGGGGAAUAUUGGACAAUGGGCGCAAGCCUGAUCCAGCCAUGCCGCGUGGGUGAAGAAGGCCUUCGGGUUGUAAAGCCCUUUUGUUGGGAAAGAAAAGCAGCAGGUUAAUACCCCGCUGUUCUGACGGUACCCAAAGAAUAAGCACCGGCUAACUACGUG
rnacentral:rRNA from 1 species